rnacentral:rRNA from 1 species
GACGAACGCUGGCGGCGUGCUUAACACAUGCAAGUCGAACGGAAAGGCCCUGCUUUUGUGGGGUGCUCGAGUGGCGAACGGGUGAGUAACACGUGAGUAACCUGCCCUUGACUUUGGGAUAACUUCAGGAAACUGGGGCUAAUACCGGAUAGGAGCUCCUGCUGCAUGGUGGGGGUUGGAAAGUUUCGGCGGUUGGGGAUGGACUCGCGACUUAUCAGCUUGUUGGUGGGGUAGUGGCUUACCAAGGCUUUGACGGGUAGCCGGCCUGAGAGGGUGACCGGCCACAUUGGGACUGAGAUACGGCCCAGACUCCUACGGGGGGCAGCAGUGGGGAAUAUUGCACAAUGGGCGGAAGCCUGAUGCAGCAACGCCGCGUGCGGGAUGACGGCCUUCGGGUUGUAAACCGCUUUCGCCUGUGACGAAGCGUGAGUGACGGUAAUGGGUAAAGAAGCACCGGCUAACUACGUG